ensembl:lncRNA
ACCAGGCUGUCCCCAGCACAACCUGCAGCCCCACCGCAGCCCACGAAGGGAGGCAGGAGCCACUUCUUCAGCCAGCACAGAAUCCUGCUGGAUAGAAGAUGACAGAAACAAUUCCGAAGCAGGACACUCAACGUCAACGAAAUACGUGCAGAGAACGCGCCUUGAAAGAGGAGAGCCUCAUAGCUACAGAGGUGGACCAAUUCACCAGCAUUUAUGUGUUUGUUAAACGAGUGCCCCUGCUGAUGUGCCUUCCUCUGAGCGAUGCUCCCAGGGGGAGCUGAGUCCAAUGAAGGCAGCCAUGUUCCACUUACGUUUGUACAGAGGUCCUGCGAUGCGUAAACGAGAACAGAAGUAUCUUAAUUGCGACUACAAAUGCAACAGUCAUAAAUGGAAUUAAUUGGCCUGCAGAGGUCAAAAGAAAAGCUGUUGAAAAAUGCUUUGCUGUUGGUUGUGAAAUUUGGAGGGCAUCAUUGACAAAACUCUAACCCACACCGCUUUCUUACUUAUCUAAUUGUAUUGUAAUUGCUGCUAUUUGUAAAUGUACAUGAAUAUACAAAGAUUACCAAGAUUUUUUAUGAUAAACACACACAAUCUUUUUUUAUAUUUAUAUUAAAACAUGUAUUCUGCAAACAGCCUAAUAAUUACAGCUUUAUGUGUGUAUCAUUUUGUAGGAUUUGGUACUACAAAACCAAACCCAGUACUGAAGUGCCUUCUGUGUUUUAAACAGCUCAAACAUUGACUGGGGAAAAAAUUAAAGCCUUAAAUCACAGAAGCCCCAAGAAUCCUAUGUUGAGUGUACUGCAGUGAGUCUAAGUAAACACUGUGUUCGGUUCUCCUCAGCUCAAAUGCAUCCAUGAGUAGUGGGACUGAAACUGACCGCUGAGGGGUUUUUAGAGCGAGUCCUUGUGAGCGGUGAUAUUUCAGCAUCUGCAGCAGAGGCAACCAGCCGGUGGCACAGCUGUAACAGCGAGAGCAAGGAGGUGAAGAGGUUAGUUGGAAAACUGCACAUCUUUAGGAUCAUGACUGUUAGCAAGCUGUCCAGCUUACCGCAACUUCGUCAGCAUCGUUACCCUGUCCAAGUGGUGCAAUUCAUUUCCAUAACUGCUGUGGGUUUGCUAUACUCGGUCAGGUCAGUGUUUUGUUGUUGUUUUUUUUAAUGUAUAGUAUGUUUUAAAUCAUCUCCUUAGGAGGCAGAACUAAAUUUGUGACUAAAGACUCUUUUUUAAGGCGGGCAUACUUGAGGACUAUUUUUGUUGAGUCUAGCUUGGUCUUACAGUCUUGCAAUCAAUAUAGGUAAUCUCAGGUGGGUGAAGUCAGAAUAACCUU